rnacentral:rRNA from 1 species
AUGGGAAGCUUAUGUAAUCUUAUGCUUGUCACCUACCUGAGGUUUGAAAGUUUGAGCAGAACUAUGCUACUACAUACAGUACAAUUUUGUUCCAACCUGCCUGACAAUCUGUAUCGAGCUUGUGAUUUUCUUGGACAAGCUUUGGAGGUGGUGAAAAUAUGGAAUUUGGGUACAUACUCUACUUGCUGUAGAACUGUAGAACACAUGCCUCCAACAGAUCAUGGGAAACACAACCUGCAUCAGAUCGUCGUGACUCAACCCGCUGAAAUGCAGGUUGCCCAGAAACACAACCUGUUUGGUACUUAA